CCCUGACAGAAGGUAAAUCCCAUGCUCUCCUGAAGGGCAGAGCCCUGCCUCAGGCUGGGGUCCAGCUGGUUCCAGAGGCUGAGCCCUGCCUCUAGGGGGUCUCUUCAGCCACUCCUCACAUCCUUCUCCACUCUCUCUGCCAAUCACUCUCCCUUCAGCUUCUUUAUCCUGUUUUCUGUGAUCCCAUCUCUUUCCUCUUUCCACAAACUUCUUGAAAGCAUAGUCAAUUCUUGCAGCCUAUGCAGUCUGAGAAUUCACUUAUCUCUUCAUUUGCUUGAAUUUGCUUUCUACCCCACCUUCUUUCUUAAACCUCUUCAAGGUCACUAAUAAAACCGGCCGCUCAUCUAAGGAUUUUUUUUUUUUUUUUUUGAUCUCCAUAUUUCUCAUUCUGUCUAGAGCAUUAGACACCAUUUAUACCAAACCUUGAAAAUUUAAUUUUCCUUCUCUGUGAUCUGUAUAUCCUGGACCUUGCCAAGCUAUGAUCACAAAAAUAACCUUUUAUAUGCAAAUAAUCAUGACUCCCUUGAAAGAAGUUAAGUGUUUCACUGAGUUUUCUUUCUCAACAUCUUUGGAGAUGUCCAGGGAAUUCUUUCAUGUUUCAUACAUUUUACUCUGAUUGUCACAGGUCAUACUAAGGGGCCAGCCCAAAUAUGACAUUUUCCCUGCACGUCCUUGUCAUUUCAUGUUGGGUUGUUCCAGGUCGCUCCUGCUCUCUGUACCCUAUUUUCUUGUCUCACUGCCAGUGACCUUCGUCAGACCCCAGCUUCCUGGGCACUGAUGUCCUCUGCUGGUGACCCUCUCAUUUUCUUACUUAGCCUUGGGGAAAGGACCCUCCCUUUCCUUAACUGCUCCUCUCUAAAACAUGGAGCUGAUCCUUCAGUUAUUACUAACCAUGACUUACCUUGCAGCCUAAAUGCAGGUCAAAGCCUGACCUCAGGAACCCUCAGUGUGUUUACACCUCAGAAUUCCUUGUCCCAUAAAUGAGGGAUCCUCCAGAAAUUCACACCUUUCUGCCUCCCUUUUACUUAUUUAUUAAAAUGCUUCUUCAUCUGCCUCCUUUUCUAGCUUUUCUGAGAUCCAGAUGGGGCAUUCCAAUUGUGUAUAUAAAAUUUCAUGGUCUCAAAUGUACCUGUUGGGAGAGAGUGCAAAUCAUAUGCAAUAGACAGCAAUGUGUGGUAUCCAUUCAGGGAGAGAACCAAUAACAGGCAGCAAUAAUGCAAUUUGCCACAGUCACCAAAGUUGUGUGAGUCUAUUAAUGAGAUAGGAGGAAAAAAGGUUUUCUCUCUAUAUAUGUAGGAAUAACCUACAUGGUGACAUAGAAAAAGGAUUAAAAAGAUACCCAUCAAAGCACUAGCAAUUCUCUG
ensembl:lncRNA